rnacentral:rRNA from 1 species
CCUACGGGAGACAGCAGUGGGGAAUAUUGGACAAUGGGCGAAAGCCUGAUCCAGCAAUGCCGCGUGAGUGAUGAAGGCCUUAGGGUUGUAAAGCUCUUUUACCAGGGAUGAUAAUGACAGUACCUGGAGAAUAAGCUCCGGCUAACUCCGUGCCAGCAGCCGCGGUAAUACGGAGGGAGCUAGCGUUGUUCGGAAUUACUGGGCGUAAAGCGUACGUAGGCGGUUAUUCAAGUCAGAGGUGAAAGCCUGGAGCUCAACUCCAGAACUGCCUUUGAAACUAGAUAGCUAGAAUCUUGGAGAGGUGAGUGGAAUUCCGAGUGUAGAGGUGAAAUUCGUAGAUAUUCGGAAGAACACCAGUGGCGAAGGCGACUCACUGGACAAGUAUUGACGCUGAGGUACGAAAGCGUGGGGAGCAAACAGGAUUAGAUACCCUGGUAGUCCACGCCGUAAACGAUGAUAACUAGCUGUUCGGGCUCUACGAGCUUGAGUGGCGCNGCUACGACAUUAAGUUAUUCCGUCCGUGGGGAGGUACGGUCGGCGAAGAAUUAAAACUUAACGAAAGGAAGUUAGUACGGCGUGAGACGUGCCGACGGACGACGACGAGGGAGGUUAGG